UGUGCACAUUAACCCAAAGGUCAUUAUUACUUUGUAUAAUGUUCUAUGCUAUGUGUGCACAAAGAAAAAGGACCUUGUCGCCUUUCAUACGCUGUCAUGUGCCAAUGAAAGUGAAUUCAAGGUUCGACAACA